rnacentral:lncRNA from 1 species
CAAUAAACCUGCACACAUAUCUAUUUAAAAAAUUAUUUCAAUUAUGUUAAUUGGUACUAUGCCAAAAGAGUUAGUAUCCAGUAAACAUUCGAGACUCGAAAGAAAAAAAAGAAGUAGAAGAAAAAAUAAAGAAAGAAAACUAGCGUCGACGAGAAAAAAAUGGCCGAGGGCUAUGGUCGUAAGGAUUUCGCAAUUACCACGUCGAUAUUCAUUAUUUCCGCAUGUAUGCUAGUUCAUUAUUACUUGAUCUUUCUCUCUCUCUCUCUCUUUUUCUCAUUUCAUACACCCUCUCUCAUUCAUACACUUUCGUGAAGUGUCAACGUGUGUAGAAAAUCUAUGUCGUGUGAAAGAUGUAAAGAAGGAGAAAAGUUAAGUGUGUUGGUGGUGGUAGUGGUGGUGGUGGUGGUGGUGGUAUGGAAGGAAGGCAGGGAGAGGAGUAUGACGAGCGUUUAAAAAAAUGUUUCCACAGUAUUCAGUCAGUCACGUCGGAGUGCAAACGCUCGCGGCUGUAGUAUCAACAUCAGCAACUCAUCUAACUACCGGCUGCCUACCUGUUUACAUACGUGAGAUUGCUUAAAGCCAAUUUGAUAUUUCAAUUGGGAAUAAUUCCAGGCUAAUCAAUUAGCCAAUUAAUUUCAUACCAAGCGUUUUCGUGGAACGGAGAUUCGCACACUUUCACGGAUAACGGCCUCGAUAGAUUACUCCGUGGAACUCGAAACCUUUUCGUAUCUCUUCCGGAAUUACUCUUACUAUGUGCAAGAAAAAGAAAGAGAGAGAGGAAGAGAGAGUAAAAAUGCUUUUUGAAGCAUCGAAGAUAUUAGAAGGGCGUAUGUAGCGAAAGAUAAAAAUUCUUCGUGACAGCUGUCAACGUUUCAUGGUAACGAUAGAGAUGUCAGUAUAAAAUGAUUCUCUUGGAACAAAAAAAAAGAAAGAAAGAAAGCGAGAGAAAGAGAGAGAGAGAGAGAGAGAGAGAGAGAGAGGAGA